rfam:Dipodomys ordii contig_1640, whole genome shotgun sequence.
GGUGGCUCAGUGGUAGAGUGCUCGCCUUACAUGCAUGAGGCCCUGGGUUCAAUUCCUCAGCACCA